rnacentral:rRNA from 1 species
CCUACGGGUGGCAGCAGUGAGGAAUAUUGGUCAAUGGACGAGAGUCUGAACCAGCCAAGUAGCGUGAAGGAUGAAUGCCCUAUGGGUUGUAAACUUCUUUUAUAUGGGAAUAAAGUGUUCCACGUGUGGGAUUUUGUAUGUACCCUAUGAAUAAGCAUCGGCUAACUCCGUGCCAGCAGCCGCGGUAAUACGGAGGAUCCGAGCGUUAUCCGGAUUUAUUGGGUUUAAAGGGAGCGUAGGUGGAUUUUUAAGUCAGUUGUGAAAGUUUGCGGCUCAACCGUAAAAUUGCCGUUGAAACUGGCAGUCUUGAGUACAGUAGAGGUGGGCGGAAUUCGUGGUGUAGCGGUGAAAUGCUUAGAUAUCACGAAGAACUCCGAUUGCGAAGGCAGUUCACUGGACCGCAACUGACACUGAGGCUCGAAAGUGUGGGUAUCAAACAGGAUUAGAUACCCGAGUAGUC